UGUAGUUGCCUAUUAACACCGCUAAGUGCGUGGCUGCGCCUACCAUUGACGGCCUGACGUUAAAAUAAGCGGUCGGUAAAAUAGUCUCUAUCUAAUGUCAGACAAUAUAUGUCAGUGCGAAUAAUUGGAAAAGCGUGUUAUUUAUUUCUCCUAUUCCCAAUACACAACAGUGGCGACGAAACCCACAAUUUUAAAAGAAAAUGGCCAAUCUCGGCAUAUUAACGAUAUUCGACCACAAUUUGCAACAAUGGGAUACGUACAUAGGACGUAUUAAGCAGUUUUUCAUCGCAAAUGGGGUCGACGCUGUCACAGAUUCGGCGGGAACGAGGAGACGCGCCAUAUUAUUAAGUGCACUCUGCGAUAGCACAUACAAGCUAGUACAAGAUUUAGCGUUACCUAAAAAGCUAGAAAAUGUGCCAUAUGAAGAUAUCUUGUCUCUACUGGAUGCGCAUUUUACGCCAAAGCACAUUGGAUUCGCCGAGCGUCAUAACUUUUAUGCAGCGACGCAGCAGUUGGGGGAAAGUUACGCACAGUGGGCCGCCAGGUUGCGAGGCUUAACGGCGCACUGCAAAUUCACCAAUAUCGAAGAGACCUUGCGGGACCGUUUCAUAAUGGGCAUGCUGCCGGGCCAAGAAAAAGAAAAAUUAUACGGGAAAAACCUGGAGGAGAUGACACUGGCGAAGGCGGUGGAGUGGGCUGAAAAUCUACGUUGUGCUAAAGUUAGCGCGACAGCCAGCGGUAGCGGCGAUGGCGUCGGCCACACAACACCGCUAUUCAAACUCCAAAGUGCUAAAAAGAAGUGUGCAGUGUGUGGUUACACAAACCACGCAACAGAUAAGUGCCGUUUCGCGAAAUAUUCGUGUAAGAAGUGCGGUGUAAAGGGACAUUUACGUAGAAUGUGUGUGAAUUACGUCAAAACGGCCAGUAAUGAGGGUGAGAGCGAAGGGGAUGACGUUUUCACAGAGUAAAAGUUAUGGUACUAAUACCCAAACAUUUGAAGUUGGAACCAAUGUUUUAUAUAAAAAAUUUGUUAAAAAUAACAAAUUCAUGUGGUGUAAGGGUAUAGUUAUUAAGCGUAUGGGUAAAGUUAUGUACUUAGUUAAAGAUAACGAUUCUUCAAGCUGUGUUAAUAAGCAUAAAAAUCAGUUAAUGUUAUAUAAGGGGCGCCGCGACGAAAAUCCUAGCCCAAGACGGGAUCUCAACAUAAAUAUUCAGGACCUCACAUCAUCAUCAUCACCAUCACCCACAAGGAUGCCAGAAACAGCGCCUGAAACCGACCACCUGGGCGCUGACUUCGUCGGAGGGGACGAUAGUGAUGCACCUGUGUCGAUGCCCGACGCAACGAUGGUUCAAGCAAAUUCACCUGAUGAUGAACAGAGAGAAGAGUCUAGGUCGGGAGAAACACAUUGUACAGACACGCCAGAGCCUGUUGAAUCGACCGAGUCGGCAGCAUCAACAAGACCAGCAAGGCAACGCAGGCGGCCCAGGGACGAUGUGUAUCUUUAUUAUUAGUUCUAGUAAUAGUCAACUAGGGGGAGGGACUGUUAUGUAGUUGCCUAUUAACACCGCUAAGUGCGUGGCUGCGCCUACCAUUGACGGCCUGACGUUAAAAUAAGCGGUCGGUAAAAUAGUCUCUAUCUAAUGUCAGACAAUAUAUGUCAGUGCGAAUAAUUGGAAAA